ACCCGACCGUAAGGCGUGAGCUGACCCAUGUUUCAACCUUAUAUGCACACAACUCAACUUUCACUGUCUCUCACUCUUAUCAGCUAUUGCUCUCGCUCCUCAGCCUUCAUACCUCUUUCGCUGUCUCCACACCUCCGCUUUAUUCUGUCUUCCAGAAACAUGAGUUCUCAGAUUUUCAGAUCUGCCUCUAGAGCCGCCAGGUCUCUUCUCUCUGCUUCUAAGACCUCCCGCUUCUGCUCUGAAGGAAGAACUGUAGCUGCAGCAGCGGCAGUUGCAUUCAGUGGAAAAGCGCCUUUUCUAGCUUCGGCUUUUGGAAGGACUGGUUCUGCUAAUGCUUCUAGACAAUGGAUUUCGGGAGCCCUGGCAAUUCCUGCAGCAGUUUACAUGCUCCAAGAACAAGAGGCACAUGCUGCAGAGAUGGAGCGCACUUUUAUUGCAAUCAAGCCUGAUGGAGUGCAGAGAGGGCUGAUUGCAGAAAUCAUUUCUCGUUUUGAGCGUAAAGGGUUCAAGCUUGUGGCAAUUAAGGUAGUGGUUCCUUCAAAGGAAUUUGCUCAGAAGCAUUAUCAUGAUCUGAAGGAAAGACCUUUCUUUAAUGGUCUCUGUGACUUCCUUAGCUCAGGCCCUGUUGUUGCCAUGGUCUGGGAAGGAGAAGGGGUGAUUAAAUAUGGUAGGAAACUCAUUGGGGCCACAGAUCCCCAGAAAUCUGAACCUGGAACUAUCAGAGGUGAUCUAGCCGUUGUUGUUGGAAGGAAUAUCAUCCAUGGAAGUGAUGGCCCGGAAACCGCCAAGGAUGAGAUUAGCUUGUGGUUCAAACCAGAUGAAUUAGUGAGCUAUUCAAGCAAUGCUGAGAAAUGGCUGUACGGAUUCAACUGAUGGAGAUAUUUGUUCUCGGGUUUUCUUCGGGAACUUAGGUCCCACAUGUAGGGUGGGGGAGAAUCACAAUUGUUAGAAUAAGAUUGUUCAUUCUGAGGUCUGUAUGUAAUAAAUACAACAGGGUAAACCUAGAUUGACAGACGAAGGACGGUGGAAGGUCCGAGAACACCAUGCAUGUCUGAAUAAACACCCUUCGACGAGCAACAAUAUAACAAGCAAGCCAUCUAUAGAAAACAAAAAGAAAACUCCAAGCCCAACAAACAUGAAAAACACUUUCGCCCAACACAAACCAUAAGAAAAAAACAAACAUAGAAGGCUAUCCUCAUAGGCUCAUCAUUGAAAGCCAGUAUGGAAGGACGCAACUAUGGAAGGACCAAAUUCGAGACAAUCUGAAUGCAGGUGUUUAUUUCAAUAGUCUUCGCAAAAAUCUGACGGCAAUCAACUAGAGUAAGGAACCAAAUGUGGCAGCAACCCCAUAACAAGGCUAUCCUCUCAAAAACCAGACACCCAUCAACCCAAAAUCUAACAAAACUGUAGAAAGCCACACCAUGCAAACCGCCCGAGCAAAGCAACUAAACCACUAUACACAAAAUUUGACCAAGAAAAACUCCAAAGGCGAAGCCUUCUCCCCAUUGGAAUAAAACCUAGCUUCUCCUGUGAUAGAGAGGAAAGGAAAUCGACGAGAAUUGCCUUUUUUCUGCCUUCCUUUCUCUGUCUAAGCAACUCUGUUUUGGUUAGUAUAUUUGACAAGUUUUAUUAUUUAAAAUUAUUGACAAGUUUUAUUAUUUAAAA